rnacentral:rRNA from 1 species
GAUGAACGCUAGCGACAGGCCUAACACAUGCAAGUCGAGGGGCAGCACGGUGUAGCAAUACACGGGUGGCGACCGGCGCACGGGUGAGUAACGCGUAUGCAACCUGCCUACUACAAGGGGAUAACCCGUUGAAAGACGGACUAAAUACCCUAUAACACAGGGAAUCCGCAUGGAUAUAUUUGUUAAAGAUUUAUCGGUAGUAGAUGGGCAUGCGUUCCAUUAGACUUGUUGGUGAGGUAACGGCUCACCAAGGCAACGAUGGAUAGGGGAACUGAGAGGUUGAUCCCCCACACUGGAACUGAGACACGGUCCAGACUCCUACGGGAGGCAGCAGUGACCCCCCGGAAUAUUGGUCAAUGGACGAGAGUCUGAACCAGCCAAGUCGCGUGAAGGAAGACGGCCCUACGGGUUGUAAACUUCUUUUGUAAGGGAAUAAAUAGUCUUACGCGCUAAGACGUUGCAGGUACCUUAACGAAUAAGGAUCGGCUAACUCCGUG